CAAAAGUACCUGCAAUGAAAAUCAUACAUUAAAAUGUUCUAAAGCUGCAAUGCACCAAGAGAAGAGGAAGAAAGUGAUGAAUACUCAGUGAUUCGCUUUGAAGUCAUAUCCGCAUAAGUCCCUAGUGUUCCGCUGGAGAAAGAUCGCCUGGAGAGCCCACAGAGGCACUGGACAAAAGAUGAAGCAAAGAAGGUGUUGCUGAGAGGCCUCUGGUCAAACCAUGCCUGACUGCAAGUGGAUCCAGAGCCAGAAAGAGAAAAAUAUGAGCAGUCACAGA